GGCUUAAUACAUGCAAGUCGAGGGGUAGUUAGGUGCUUGCACUUAAUGAGACCGGCGAACGGGUGCGUAACGCGUAUGCAACUUACCCUUAUCUGGGGGAUAGCCCGGGGAAACCCGGAUUAAUACCGCAUAAUAUACUGAUUGGCAUCAUUUAGUAUUGAAAGAUUUAUUGGAUAGGGAUGGGCAUGCGUAGGAUUAGGUAGUUGGUGAGGUAACGGCUCACCAAGCCUUCGAUCCUUAGGGGCUCUGAGAGGAGUAUCCCCCACACUGGCACUGAGAUACGGGCCAGACUCCUACGGGAGGCAGCAGUAGGGAAUAUUGGGCAAUGGAGGCAACUCUGACCCAGCCAUGCCGCGUGCAGGAAGACGGUCCUCUGGAUUGUAAACUGCUUUUGAAUGGGAAGAACCACAGUCUUGCGAGAUUGUCUGACGGUACCAUUAGAAUAAGCCACGGCUAACUAC
rnacentral:rRNA from 1 species